rnacentral:rRNA from 1 species
GAUGAACGCUGGCGGCGUGCCUAAUACAUGCAAGUCGAACGCAGUGGGGACGGGUGAGUAACACGUGGGUAACCUCCCAUCAGAGGGGAUAACACUUGGAAACAGGUGCUAAACCGCUACUGAUGGAUGGACCCGCGGGGCAUUAGCUAGUUGGUGAGGUAACUGCUUACUAAGUACACGAUGCAGAGCGGACCGGAGAGGUUGAGCGACCACACUGCGACUGUGACACGGACCAGACUCCUACGGGAGGAAGCAGUGGGGAAUAUUGCACAAUGGGCGAAAGCCUGAUGAAGCUAUGUCGCGUGUAUGAAGAAGGCCUUAGGGUGGUAAUGUACUUUUAGCGGGGAGGCGUUACCCGGUGAAGAAGCACCGGCUAACUCCGUGCCAGCAGCCGGGGUAAUUC